UCCAAAGCCCAAAGAUGCUGAGAAGAAAACCAAGCAAGAUCGAAGUUAAAAUCGAAGACAAAGAAGAACUCGAAGAAGCCCGCAAGCGUGCCGCCGCCACCUCCACCUCCACCUCCACCUCCACCUCCCAACCCACCGGCGCCACCUCGCUUCUUCACCACUUCAACCAAUCCUCUACCACCACCUCUUCCAAAUCACAUCGGAUUGGCCUCUCCUCUUAAUUAUCACCCGGUUAAGGUUUGUGUUUGAGGGUAGUGAUUACUGUUUUUGGUGGAAUCAUCAAGCAUUGGGAAAAGAGUAAAAGGCGACUUUUGGGGAAACUCAAUGACGAUUGCGGUCUAGGGUUAGGGUUUGAGUUUUUUUUUUAUGGGUUUAAGAGUGGGAAUGAAUCAAGAUUUGAAUUUGGGAUGCUGUAAGAUAUUAGGUGUGAGAGUAGCGAGCCUGGGAAAGGUAAAGAACGGCUUGAGGAGUUCUUGAAAGGGAAUGGAACUGCUUGUUCCUGUUUCAUGGCUUCAAAAUAUGCAAUUUGCAGUCAUACCUAGUAACUAGAAUUAUGAGGGAUGCAGCAAUGAAGUAAUGUAAAUGGCAAUUUGGGAGGGAGCAACAUCAGCCUUUGAGUUGUAAAAUUUAAUCCAUUCUUGUAUGGCAUAUAUGUGUUGAUCAUAAUCUUUUAGUUUUAUGUUCUUGUAGGAUGCUAUCCAAUAAUAAAAGAUUGAGUAUGCUUUCAUAAUCCAUAAAGAUGUUGGUAUU